rnacentral:rRNA from 1 species
CAGCAGUGGGGAAUAUUGCACAAUGGGGGAAACCCUGAUGCAGCGACGCCGCGUGGAGGAAGAAGGUCUUCGGAUUGUAAACUCCUGUUGUUGAGGAAGAUAAUGACGGUACUCAACAAGGAAGUGACGGCUAACUACGUGCCAGCAGCCGCGGUAAAACGUAGGUCACAAGCGUUGUCCGGAAUUACUGGGUGUAAAGGGAGCGCAGGCGGGAAGACAAGUUGGAAGUGAAAUCCAUGGGCUCAACCCAUGAACUGCUUUCAAAACUGUUUUUCUUGAGUAGUGCAGAGGUAGGCGGAAUUCCCGGUGUAGCGGUGGAAUGCGUAGAUAUCGGGAGGAACACCAGUGGCGAAGGCGGCCUACUGGGCACCAACUGACGCUGAGGCUCGAAAGUGUGGGUAGCAAACAGGAUUAGAUACCCUGGUAGUCCACACCGUAAACGAUGAUUACUAGGUGUUGGAGGAUUGACCCCUUCAGUGCCGCAGUUAACACAAUAAGUAAUCCACCUGGGGAGUACGACCGCAAGGUUGAAACUCAAAGGAAUUGACGGGGGCCCGCACAAGCAGUGGAGUAUGUGGUUUAAUUCGAAGCAACGCGAAGAACCUUACCAGGGCUUGACAUAUAGAUGAAUAACUAAGAGAUUAGUUAGUCCUUCGGGACAUCUAUACAGGUGGUGCAUGGUUGUCGUCAGCUCGUGUCGUGAGAUGUUAGGUUAAGUCCUGCAACGAGCGCAACCCCUGUGAUUAGUUGCCAACAGGUUAAGCUGGGAACUCUAAUCAGACUGCCGGUGAUAAAUCGGAGGAAGGUGGGGAUGACGUCAAAUCAUCAUGCCCUUUAUGUCCUGGGCUACACACGUACUACAAUGGCUGUAACAGAGAGAAGCAACACCGCGAGGUAGAGCGAAACUCUAAAAGCAGUCUCAGUUCGGAUUGAAGGCUGAAAUUCGCCUUCAUGAAGCCGGAAUUGCUAGUAAUGGCAGGUCAGCAUACUGCCGUGAAUACGUUCCCGGGCCUUGUACACACCGCCCGUCACACCAUGAGAGUUGGGAAUACCCGAAGCCUGUGAGCCAACUGUAAAGAGGCAGCAGUCGAAGGUAGAAUCAAUGAUUGGGGUGAAGUCGUAACAAGGUAGCCGUAUCAGAAGGUGCGGCUG